rnacentral:lncRNA from 1 species
GAAUGGUUUUUCAAAAUUUUAUCUUCUCUUCUUUCCUCAUGCUUGCACCACCCCCAAUUCCACCCUAGGUUACUACUACUGACCCCCUGCAUUGUUCCAGUCCCCUCCAGAAGGCAGUUUCACCCACUUUAGGAACCUAUGGUAUACACCUAUAGCCACUCACCUUUGCAAAUGAAAGGAGGUGUGAACUCUGGCUAUGGUAGCAGGACCCAUGAAGUUACUGGGCAGAGUCCAUCAGUGAUGGGACAUCAUACUACCUUCGAGAAGAAACAGAUCUAAGGGGACCUUGAAUACCUUGGCUGAUAACUCAAAGGGUAAGCCUUGUAAUCAUGGGUUUACUGGAUAAAAAGAUUACAUUUCAUGGUCUAACUUAGGGGUGGGGAACCUGCAGCCCCAAGGCCACAUGUGGCCUUCUAGGUUCUUGGGUGUGGCCAUUUGACUAAGUCCAAGUUUUAUGGAACAAAUCCUUUUAUUAAG